rnacentral:lncRNA from 1 species
CGCGCCUGAAGGAGGGGUUACACCCUCCUCAACCGGGCUCUCACGAGGAGGGCGGAGCAUGCUCGCUGACUGACUGCUGCGGCAGCCAAUGAGCCCUCGAGCUGAGGAUGAAGGGCGGGCUGCGGCGGCACAACGGCCUGUGGCGGCGCGCGGUGGAGGCCUGUGGGGGCGUUCUUGUGUGCGCUGCGGGAUGUGCGCUGUGGUGGUGGAGGGGGUCCUUGUGAGGAGAGCAAGGCCCCGUGAGGGGAGCAGGGCCCGUGUGGAGCUCUUCAUGCCUUCACUGCUGCUCCUGCGGCCUGCCCGCAUUGCUUCCUCUGUGGAAGUGAGGUGGAGUGUCUGUGGUGGUGGAGGCGUACUCAGGGCCUGCAGUUUUCCAAGACAGGUGAUUAAGAAGGCUCUAGUGUUAACAGUAAUACUUGCUCCAGCUGUAAUACCCGUCAUAUCUGUGCUGCCCCGUGUGAUUGUGGUUCUUGGUGGGCUGAAUUGGUACAAGGGGAGCGGGGCAGCCCAUGGAGGUUCUCUGUGUUGUGUGGGCACUCUGAACAGUGUUCAGUCCAUUAAUAAAGUGCUCAUUUGGGGUUUGGCUGCCCUCAUCUUGCUGUGCUUCUAUUAGCACCAAACUUGUCUCUUCUGAGGUAACUCCCAGGUGUUGUGAGAAGCACUGAUAGGAAAAGCUGCCUGCUUGUUCUGUUUUCCCCCCUGAAGCCUUCAGCUACAGCAUGCACGUGAAUAUUGCCUUUUUAAGUAACUUUAAUUUUGUUCUCCCUUUUGGUGUAGGGUAGAGCGUGGAAUGGGAACGAUGUCUGCCAAACUUACAGCUUUUAAGCUUAAAAGAUUUAAACGAAGAUUGGAAAGGAUCUCAAUGCACUGAGUACAAGAGGGGGAAACAAAGAUGGAGGGAGAAUACAGGAGUCACUGCAUCUGCUAACAUAUGUGCACCAGAAAUGCAGCAACAAAGCACAGAUCUUGAAUUCACAAAGCACAAGCUAUGGAUUCACUGUUCCAUUGCAGAUAUUACAGUUCUGCUCAGCUACCACAAGAGGGACGUAGAAGGAAAGCUAAGAUAGCCCGGGAGAAAAAAACAAAUCGAAAGAGCAGCUUCAUGCAGGUUCAGCUGCACUGUGGCUAUAAAAAAGUAUUCCUGAAGCAAACUGGAUAAGUACUUUAAAGCAAUGGAGGAAAAGGAGGAGAAGAUCUUGACAUUUCUUCAGUGAUCUCGGAUGAAGAAGAUACUUAGAUAUUAAGGUGAUGAAUGACAUACAAAGAUAGUAGCAGUAUAUGAAACUAGCUAUAAACUCUGUGCUACAAACCAGUUUUCCUUCCCUGUCUAAGCUAAGUGGAUAGUAAAAAGCUAAUAAAGUAUGAAAAUGUAAUUUGAUGUUGAAGUACUACUUAAAAAUCCUUUAGCUCAGUAGAAAAUUGGUAAUCCUUCCCCCCAAAAUGUAUUAAAAUGCCUUUUACCUCUUGUUCCUUGUAAAUAGCUGAAGUGUGUGGUCAUCCUAAACAAUGCCACGUUAGCACUGAAUCUGACUUCAGUGAACGUAUGUAGGGGAAACAUCUUUUUAAAAACAGAGCUUCUGGGUUUUUUAUUGCAGUUUUUGCCUGCAAAAAUACCAGGUGAAAUGAGCCACUUCUCUUUAACUGGCCACAGAUGUCAGAUUGCUCACAAAAAAGCAUGGUUUUCAAAAUCCAAGGAAAAAAAAAAGCUGGAAAUAGUAGAUGUAUUCCUGAAGAUAUUUGAGAGUUGCUUAUUAAGUUUACCUUUUGUAGGACUUCUGGAAGAAGCAGACUUGUUAAAAAUAUUCUGUUUCUAAAAGGGCAUCAUCUUUCCUUGAAGUGGGAUUUCUUCAAAACAGAUGUUGUUGGAUCUCAGCUUAAAAACAAAUUUUGAAUCUCUUGAUUAACUACAAAGAGUGUACAUGUUUCUUUGUUUUAAUUUCUGGCAGUUAUCCUGGGCAGAUGGAGGAGCAGUGAGGUUAUUUUGGUAUAAUGUAAAACCCAGUACUUCACAACGAGUUUUGAUGUGUUUGAAUUGUGUGGACUGGUGUCUCCCCGUUUUAGUGGAGAAAAUAGAAGAGUGGUGCUUUUUCAGGUUAUCCCCAGUGUCUUGUUUAAGUGUAUAAAUACUUGAGUUUUAGCAGUGUGAUUUCUUAUGUGAUAACAGCUUGCUUUCUUCUCAAAGCAUUACUGCUUUACGGACUUUUUUUUUUUUUUUUUAACUUUUGGGGAAGGUAACUUGCAAGGAGUUAAAUGUGAGGCUCUUUUUUUGUAAAGAGUAUAUUAAGAGAACAAAUAAUUUGAAAAAGUUUGCGGUUUUUUUGUGUCCUAACCUGAUUUUUCCUUCCCUAGUUCUUUAAACGAAUAACUUCGUUGCAUUCUCUAUAUGUAAAGUAAAUCCUUCCAAGCUAAACCUUCUUCCUGCUGUGGGAAAAGUCUGUUAAUUUGGCAUUUGUCUUAAAAAUGAAAUAACGUAAGUAAUCCAAUAAUUAGGUGUGUUGCCCUUUGGGCUUUGUUGUGGGAGGGAGUGUGUCUAAACUUCUCUGAAGGUUAUACGUGUAAGAACACGUGUUUAGCCACAUAAUGUGGCUACAUGAUUUAAUAUGAGUGGUUCAGAUUCCUCUUGGCCUAAACACCUGCAUCCGAAAUGGUCCUUGUCAUGAAAUAACAGCCAUUUAGUUUUCUGCUCUCCAGCUCCCAGGGAUUAACACGUUUUCAUGGACACCUCACUUCUUUUUGAUGUGAAAUACAGACUUUGACAACAGGACCUUAUCUUCCCAUUGCCAAUAUUAAAGCUUCAGGAAACAGCAAGCAUAAAACUUUCACGCAGUUGUAGCAGCUAUAGGUAGGACAAGUAGUACAAACAGCUGCUGCUUGCUUGCUUGCCUGAAAAAGAAAAAAAAAUCUAGAAUUGUGGGAGACCAAAUAGAUUGGGUGUUGCAGUAGUUUUCCCGUGAUGGAAGCCCUUCCAUUAGAAAUCUUGUAUUUCUGAUGUUUUGGGGUGAGUACAGGGCAAAAAGAGGUUGGGUGCAGAACCAGUCUGGUUUCAGGAUGGAGCAGCUUACUUGAAGUGGAAAGAAUGUUUUCCUUGCAGCAUCUUGUGGAUUUGAGGAGGAACCAAGCCAGUACUGAACGCAGGUCAUGAAUGGUUACAGUGUAGCUGUGUAAUGCCUUCCCAGAACUCAUGAGUUCCUUGGAAAUGUACUCAGGCCACUGGUGGCAUUUUGUCAAACAGUACAUGAAAAGAUCAAGAGGCCGUGGGGUCCCAGGUUUUAGCAGUACUCCUGAGAGUGAAUGGUUUCAUUUAUUAUACUAUCUGCUUCCUAAACGCAGUGGGCUUAAGUGGAUUUGCUUCUAUUUGCUUGAAAAAGAGUUUCCAAGUAUCAGAUUGAUGAUAUGGAGUGUUUCCUAUAGCUCCUUUGCGUGCCCAUGCUGGUUUUGCCUUUUUCAGUGCUGUUUCAUAGCCUGCUCCUCAGCUGCUAAGCCAAGGGAGAGGAAAAGCCAUUUUCCCACCCCAGGCUGGUGCUGGUUGCUGGGACUUCCUCACGCUGACUGAUUUAAGACCCACUGGCAUGCCUUGGGAGCAUCCGCACCCUGAUGGCAGCACCUCAGGACCUUCUCUGGACCUAAUCCAACCUGUUCUCUGCUCAGCUUCCAACAAUGCUUCCAAAUGGCUAACCUUUGCUUUUGGCUUUGCUCUGCCUCUUGAGUGAAGGGCAGCCAGUGUGACAAUGAAUGAAUGGAAAGGUUCUGGAAGUGCUAUGAAAAAAGAUGGAAGGAAAAGCAGGAAUCCUUCCUCCCUUCUCCCUCCGGUAUCACGCAGACUAGUGGUUAUCAAGUGGUGCCAUCUGAGAUUCAUGAUGAAGAGGCUAAAAUGGGAGUGGAAUUUGCUUGAAUUCCUGGACCCUGAGCAAGGUUCGUGGCAACCCAUUGAACCCAUCACAGAGUCUGGAAACUGUGAACUGGGUCUGUUUUUACUAAAAAUGACUACCAGACUUAAUUUAUGGUCAAACAGAAGUUUUCAAAUUGUUUUUCAGUUUUGGUCCAGAAAAUCCAUGAGUCCUAUGUCAUAUGGAAGAAACCCAGGGCACAGAAACAUUGUAUACAGUUGUUAGCAAAUGCCAUUAAGAAAAAUUAAAUCCUAUGCCUUUAUUUCAGCUGUAGUAUGAAGAUUGAGCAAAGGUGCUCUGGGAAGCUUGCUGGCAAGUAAGUGGCAUUCCAAUCUCAGACAAGAUACUAACAUAUUAGGCCACUUUCUUGGCUGCAGGUUAUUAUAUGACUUUACUGGAAGAAAUUAUUGCAAAAAGGAUCUGAAAGUCUGCAAAGCACUAAUUCUAAGUAGCACUUUGGUUAUGAUGUCAUUUUAAAAAAAAGUAAUAUUAAACACUGGGCCAUGACCUUCUUUGGAUCAAGAGCAACACAAGGCCACUAGCCAAAAUGCAGAAUUUCUGCAGCAGGAGAAUAAAAUAGGCAUAAUAAAAGUCUUGUGGAAAGUCCAAAGCAUGUAAGGUCAAGGUCAAGUACAAAAAGACCGUAUUAGAAUGACCCUGAGGAGUGGCAGAAUAAAUAAUGCAGUGUUUUCUAUGACUGUGGAGGUUUACAAGGAGAUGGAGUGGAGGAAGCAUUGUUAAUUCUAGUCGCAUAUUCUGUACAUUUAAGAUCAGCCUAUAAGUGUUCAAGAAAGAAGCCAAAUCAUGGGCUAGCUGGAGCACUGGAAGAAUGUGAAUGAUUGCUGUGAUCUCACACUGAUCUUAAACUAUUUGUUCUUUUGGAACUUUAAACAAAUCCAGUUCUAACCUGCAUCCACCUCCUCUCUACUGAGGAAGCAGAAGGGCUGACAUGAAACAAGGGACAUUAUUCUUGAUGGAUAUGAGGAAACAUCAGAAAUACCAUGUAAAAACUGUGUUACUGUAGGUUUUUUUUCUUAAUGGAAUGACCCAUUAUGGAACUACACGUGGUCUGUAUUGAAGGAUCAAACUAAGGUGUGGAGAUUAACCCUUCGCUGUUAUGUUUGUGUGGCUUUAACUCAGUUCAUCUAUGAAUAGCUGGAGGCCUGGUCAGCUUCUUAGGAGGCUCCACAUGCCUCACCCCUCUUUUCCCUCUUUGUAUCACUCAUUCUGUGUUCUGCUAGAGGCCACCACAAACCUCAUCUGAAAAAAACAAAGGGAGGGGGGUACCUGCAGGAAUAAAUGGCAAAAGCUCCUGUUUUAUAGCAAGGUUUAGAAGUGCAACUUGGAUCUUCUUAGAACCGUUUCUCUUCCCGCUGUGUUAGGAGUAACUCCCAGAUGUGACUUGAAGCCAGCAAAUGAUCUCAGGCAGUGAGAUCAGAUUUUGCUGAGUAUACAGGGUUAGACAUGUUCAUUGCUCUCCUUCCAGAAGAUCUCCUAUCCAAACCAUGCAUUGACCUUUGAUUUCCUUGGGAACAUUGGCCUUUGCAGUAGCCUUUACAGCAUUUGUGUAUAGAAACCCACAGUUACAACGUUGUCUCUUGCCUUGCCAGUUGAAAAUUGCUUUUGUGAUGGCUAUUUAUUCACCUGAGGCGUGGGGUUCCUGGAAUUGUGUGCGCUUUCCUGGAAGAAGUGUUGAACAGUGUAAUGGCUUGUGCAGAAAGCAUUCAAAGACUGAAGCAAUGUCAAGGAGAGACAAGGCAGCUGGACUUUAGGGAGAGCUCUCAGAUUCCACUCUCAUGAUAGGUAUUUCUCUGGCCGUCAUUGUCUCAGGAACUGAGUGUCGCUUACACCCAAAGUGUUUUGGCUUGAAUAAAGGUUAAUGAAAGAAACUGAGCGCUGUGCUAGCCAAAAGCAAUUGGCCUUUAUUGAGGGAAGCAUUGAAAAAAUACAGAGGAUCGAACUUCUAGUUUCCAUGUGGAAUUAGAAUUAGCGAAAUCUUGUGACUGUUGCAAUUAGAUGCCAUCUGCGUCCUUGCAGUCUUUGGAUGAAGAAAGUAGUUUAAAUGAAGCAAGGACUUAACUCUGAAUCUUUACCCAGAUCUUGAUACUGAAAAAUAUUGUGAAAAAAGAUUGAUUUUUUUGCUUUUAUGGCUGUUUUUCAGAUUUGGGUGGGGUCAGCAAAGGGAAUUGCCAGAAAUCUCCAGAGCCAGUUCAUUUGAGAGAUUUCUGGUCUGAUAUUUUCUUGAAAACUCAAGAGGUUUGGAUUAUUCUCCAGACUCCAUCUUCCUGGAGAGCUUCCCACUGCUUUUUAAGCCUGUGUACAUGAAUGCCAUUUUUCCAUUUCUCUAGGGGUGAAAAUAAACCAUAGUCUGAAUGAUGCUGAAUUUUCCUCUGAGUUUAUAAAUGAUUACAAAGGAGCACAAACUUCAAAUAAAGCCAGUGAUCUGUAAUGUCUCAAAACUUAUCAAAGGAGAAUGGGCAUGUGGAAAGAGAUCUAUGAUGAGGUGGGCUGAUGCUGUGUAGCAUAGCAGGGAAAGCACAUGUUUACCAGCCAGUUAUCUCCACAAUCAGUGACAAUGAUGAAACAAACAGUUCCAUAAAUGUUCCACAAACCCUUCACUUCAAGGCUAAUAGACUUCUUGAAUUGAUCCUCUUGACUUGCACCUGCUAAUAACUUCUUAGGUAGUCUGGACAAGGUAACACAGGCAUUCCCUUCGGCACUGUGAAAGCUGCAAUUUGGAUCAUGUUCUUAAGUCAUACCUGUGUGCUUUCAGGCCUGUGUGGGGAGAUACUUCUACAUGAGAACAGCUGAGUAUUUAACACUGUUAUCUAACCAAAUGUGGAUGGGGGCUCAGCUGACUGGAUCUGUGCUAUUAUUUGUGUUUGAAAAUUCAUUUUCAUACUGUAUGAGAUCUCUCUUUUGAGGGAGACAAAGUGAUCCUGCUUCUGAGGACGAUACCUGUCCUCCCCCACCCCCGGAGCGUGGGCCUUGUGAACAUCCUUGUCUAUUCAUACAAAUGACAGCUGUAAUUAUCUUUGACAGAAAGCCUGUGGAACACCUCAGGCAAACACUGGAAGUGGGGACAGCAGUGUUCUGCCUUGUGAUGUGAUGGGCUCUGUGUAGAAGGCACUGGGUUUGUCAUCCUCUGCUUAUCCUUGAGGAACUGGCAUUCUUUUGUGGUCAAGAUUUUGGGUGCAAGUAAUGAGGGCAUAAAGGGCAGUUUCCAGGAAGACAAUUCAUUCGUGUUUGUUCAAAGUCUAACAGAAGUAUUUAAGUAGUUGAAGUGAGGUAUAAGUAAAAAAGACUGAGAGACAAUGUUCUGCUUUACCGCCAUCAUAAGAGGAAAAAUGUCACUUUUUUUAUUAUUAUUAAAGCUCUGCUAUAAUGGUAGCCACAUAUUCUUUUUUCAUAUUAAAGAUUCUCAUUUUUCCAUAUGGAUAAAGAGGCUGCUUUAGAGUACAGCCUUGACAAUCUGCUGCUGCUUCUUAUCUCUCUAUUCUUCGUGCCCCUCACGGAUCUCACAUUCACCUUGUGGUUCCUUGACAACUGAAGAAAGCACUUACACCUGGAGGCUUUUCACUGUAAUUCAUAAAGGCUAUUCUUCCACACUGCUCUUGUGUAAGAAAGGGUCAGAUUUCUGCGUGCAAGUAUUAAACUAUUCAUACUAAAACUGAGCUUAAGUGUGUAGCUGCCUCCUGAGGCAAGGAGUGUUACAUUUCAUGAUCAACUUUUUUCUCCCCUUUCUCUGAACCAUCCGGUAUUUUGAAGAAUUGAGUUUGGAGGAAGCAAUGCUCAGGCUUCUGACCUAAUGCUUUCAGCAUCCCUACAGUCAGUGAAGAUGAAAGGCUGAUUCAAUUAAUCCUUUGUGAAUACUAUUUCUUCCUCUGUGUACAAUAUAACUUAAUUUUCACAGCUGAAAAAGUUUAUAUUUCUUGCAAGAGCUGAUUGCAGUUUAUAUUUUUUCAGGGUACCGUAACAGUGGUCUUUUAAUCACCGGUGUCCUGAAAAGACCUGAUUGCUUGGUACUGCUUCUGCUUAUUUCCAGCUGUUAAAUCACACUGCAUAUCAUCCUUCUGGUUUUUGGUGUUAUUUGUUUGUGUGGAGGGAGGUUUGUUCUUGGUUUUUUUUUUUAAAUGUAAACAGCAGAGCUAAUUGCUAUGGAGAGGUUAUAUGAAAAUAAGCAAAUGAGAAGAAAAAAUGGCCCCUGUUACAGGCAGUGAAAGUGGAAGUGUCAAGAGAGCUAUCAUUAAUCUUAAAUCAACACUUAGCAAAAAGCUACAACUUUUUACUGCCUGUAUCCAGAAGGCUUGAACAGGUUUGCUUAAUAUAACUUCUGGCAUGGAAAUGUUUUUGAUGUUCCCUUGAGAUGUCCACAGAAAGGACAGCUUUGUGGUCUGCAGUUAGUAGGUCCAGCGUGUUGGAAAAGGUAACUUACCACUUCAUACUUCUGAGGCAGAAUAAACUGUGAAGUUCAAAUUUUCUCUGUGGAUCUUUGGGAUGAGACCACAGAAAGCACAGUUCUGUCUCCUGUGAACGGAUGCUCACCAUUCCUUGGCUCUCUCUCUGAAAAGCGUGGUUUUCUCUGGAGUCCCAAGCCAAAUGUUUCUCUCUUUUUUUUUUUUUCUGCUGUUCUGCACUCUGUUAUAUAUUUGGCUGUGCUCUCUGUCCCAAAGGUGUCUAUGUUCUGGUGGUAUUAGGUAUGAAUAAGUCGUCAAGUUCUUUGGGAUCUUCCUUGCUGAAAGGCACGAUGGAAACUUGAUCUUUUUUUGAAGCUACAUGGCAAAGGGCUAACGGUGUGUGCCAGCUUGUGGCUAGGAGGCAGUGAUCUGAGGACAGCAAAUUCUCAUCUAUGUAACACUUGUGUAUAUGAUACAGAAAUAGUAUUAUUCAUACACAGUAUGUGCAUUUAUGUGUAGCUACUGAACUAAUCACGUGUAGACAGCUCUAGCGUCAUAUUGAGGUAGAGUUCCAGGGCCCCUCAUGUUAAGUAUUCUGCCUGUGAAGGGGUCGAUGCCAGACAUUAAUAAGUUUUGGUAGGGUAAUCAAAACCAAGUCAUUGCUCCCUAGGACAGGUCCUCGGGCUAUUAAAAAGUGUACGUGCUGUCUGCCCACCUACAUGUGUGAUCUCAGAGCCCUGAGCACUUCCAGUCCCCUCAGUAAUGAGACAAUUCCUGUUUAUACUAUUGCUGAAGACCCCUGGAUUACACAAUAGGAAGAUUUGACCAGGGAGAUGGAUUAUAUAUAUCAUUUAGGGGAAAGAAAAAACCAGCCUGCUUACAAGAGCUUUUGUUUUUAAGGUUUGCCAUCCCUGAGAGUUUUUGGAAGUGACUGAGUGCAUACUGAGCAACGAGUGAAAGCAAUCAGGAAAACUGUGUUAUUGUCAUUAUGACUCUGGGAGGUGUCUUUUAGUAGCAAAAACCAAAAAGGGAGACCACGGCCAAAACAGUUUUACUGCAAGAACUGCAUACUCCAAGCAUUAAUGAUACUCCCAACAAUAAUUUCCAGCAAGACAUGAUGGCUUAACCAUCACAUCAGUUUGCAUCUCCCUUGGUCAAAACAGCCUUCAGUCAUCUUUUUUUUUUUUUUUUCCAGUACAAUUCAGUUAAUUAUUCCCAGUUCCCUCAAUGAGUCUGAGCUCCCACUGGCUCUUGGAGCAAUAGUAGCUCAUUGUUGCAAAUGAGCUUAAUCCAGUGUUAGAAGUCUUUAUUGUCUGUAAUAGAAAAUGGCAUGAAUAGUAAAGGAAAAAAUGUGAGAUGUUUCCUGUAAGGUUUUAACAACCCUCCUGGGUGCAUGAUUACAACAUAUGCUGGGGAAUAGUUUUGAGCAGGGUGGUGGUGAGGAGAAGGAGCUCUGGCAGCAAUUUAUACCCCCAUCUGUAAGCCUCGUUACAGCGAGCUGCUUGAGAAGGGAAAGAUGGGACACAGCUCUUCUCAAUCUGGACAUGCCACUGCUUUUCAGUCCUUUGCCCUUCUGGUUUGUCAGAGUUUGUCUCUGGCAGGCUUAAAUGAGAGGCAUAAUGAAGCCAUAUGAGGGCCAAUAUGAAAUCUGUGGGCUUACAAAAGCACUUUGCUUGGCCUCCUGCCCUCAGUUUUGUAAAGAGAGUUUUAGUUCCAGGUGUUUCAUUCUUUUCAGACAGCGCUAUGAUGACACCACGUCUGACGUAUUUUGGAAGGGGAUUAUCAGUCUGAGACCCAGGAGUGGAGAAUAUCUGAUGGUGCUAUGAUCUGUCUACAGAUGACAAAGUUCUGGACCAUAUUUUCAGUGAAGAACAAUGCUCAGGGUGAUUUUGUAUCCAAGAUCUCGUGUUUCAGCCUUUCUUCACAUAGACCUCAGACUUAUAGAUUUUUCACUAGUCCUGUCGCUGGCCUUGUCUCCUACUGUUUCUGAUGAGUCCUCAGAUGGACCUACCAGUAUCGAAGUAAUGCAGCAGUCUUCCUCAGAAGAAUAUUGUGGCAAUGAAGACUGAAGCAUUUGUCGUGUUGGCUAUUUAAGAACAAAAAUAGUGGAAAACCCUGAGUCAGGUCAUGCUGGUUCUGUCACUGGUGUUGGUUGAGAACUAAGAGUUAAGGAUAAAACAGAGUUGGAAUGUGUUUUCAGCUCAUCUGCCUUUUAUGUGGGAGUUCUCCCUCAGAUGUUGGAAAUCAUCUCUGCAGCUUUUUUUCAUAAACCGUUUUCAGCUGUUUCUAUACCCUAUCUUAAAGUUGUUGAUGUUUUCUCACAUUCUAGAACUCUUAAGAAAUUGUUCAAGAAAACUGAUGUCCCCUUAGAAGUCAGAUUUUCAUACACAGAAAGGAUAAAAGAAAUCAAAUUCCUAAUAGUGUUGCAGGAAUGAGCAGGGAAGUUGACCCUUCUGAGCUCUAAUCUUCAAGGAUGGCCUCACUUUCUGUACUGUAAUGCAGUGACUUCCUCACAGGGGACUUCCCUGUCACAGGGCUCUAAUUGAUUUGAUGCUGCAGUUGUGGCCAGUGUUAUGUCAUUCUGCUUAUAGCCACAGUAGAUUGCAUAACUGUUUUUUAGUUCAUAUAAAUGACUUUACUGGUAUUACUCAAAUUCCAUUAGUAGAGUAGAAAACAAGGAGAAUUAAUGAUAAAGUUAACGUAAUGCACGAUGGAGC